CAUAAAGUAGUUUAAAAUAAAACAUGAAAUUGCAAAUUUCAGAAUGCUCAAGAAAUUGGCCUUUAUGU
rnacentral:tRNA from 1 species